UACAGAGGGUGCGAGCGUUGUCCGGAAUCACUGGGCGUAAAGGGCGCGUAGGUGGCGCGACAAGUCAGUGGUGAAAGUUCGACGCUCAACGUCGAAUCGGCCACUGAUACUGUUGGGCUUGAGCACUGUAGAGGCUAAUGGAAUUCCGGGUGUAGCGGUGGAAUGCGCAGAUAUCGGGAGGAACACCGGUGGCGAAGGCGGUUCUCUGGGCCUGUUCUGACGCUGAGGAGCGAAAGCGUGGGGAGCGAACAGG
rnacentral:rRNA from 1 species